GAUCGCUCAACCUUUUUCUUGACAGGACAAUUGGGAUGUGUACAUUUAUAAUAACUUCGUGGAAAUUCACUGCCUUUCACCUGUUUCUGCCCAUAUUUUCGCCAAUUGUAGCCAUCAUCAGUAGGUUUAUCAACAACAAGUGAAGAAGCUUGGGAUCUUUGAUCAGAAUGAGAGAAGUCUGAAGAUUCAUUAAUGGAAGCACUAGGAUCUGGGAUUGAGGAUAGCAUCUUCUGGUGAGUAGUUGAAUUAGUUGUGACAGAGGAAAACUGUGUUGAAGAUGUUGCCGGUGCUGAUGGUAAAGAAGAUGAAUAGUGUGCUUGAAUGUGCAUAUUAGAAUGGGCUUGUGCAGCCUGGGCAGUAACCUGAGCUAGAGCCUGCUGGUGAGUCAUUCCAAUGUGUCCCUGAGCAGAUAAGAGCCCGAAACCUGGUGAAUCAAGAAGAGCCAUCGGACUCAGCCCCGGGGGCACAGUGAACAUCGGCGACGGCGGAGAGAUGGACAAACUAGUCGGCCUGCUGACGUCAGCAACGGAGGUUUUACUUUUAUCCUCCGGAGGAAGAGGAGGAAAGGGAGGUUUGUUGUUGCUAUUGGCAGCGGGAGAGACCAUGGCGCCGGCGAGAAGCUGGGAGAAAGAUUUAAAAUCAUCGGAAUCGGAGAAGAAACUAGAGAC
rnacentral:misc_RNA from 1 species